UACAAUGCGUGAGGACAUCACAAAUGCACUCUGGGCAAAUUAUAAUCAUUGAUGGUGUACUCAAUUUUAUUUACAAUGUUUUGGUAAAGUUUAGCAACAA